rnacentral:lncRNA from 1 species
AUUCACCAACUUAAUUGUAUCAAUUCACCAAAACACACCAUGACAGCAAAAGUCCUCUCUUCAGUCUUGCAAAGGAAGAAGCAUCUGCUGCUCACAGGAAGAGAUGAUCCACAACUGCCUGAACACUGCCAGCAAAGAGUUGCCCUGAGGAGAUGAGAGGUGGCUGCCCCUGCCCUGCAGGGAGACCUGAACGAGAGCCACCUGAGGAGCAGACCAGGUGCUCAGCCUAUGUGGGGCGGAGCUGUUCCGCAAGGUAGGAGGCUGCUGGCAGCACCAAAGGAAGAAGGCACAGAGACAGCAGCACCCAUGGGGCCCCCGCCACUCAAGCGCCCUAAGAAAGCUCCACCCAAACCAGUGCUACUCCAGCCCUGCCAGUCCCUGCUGCAGCAGCACAGAGGGAAACGUGCCAGCCUCUGGCCCCCUUCAAGCUGCCACUGAGCAGACAGAUAAUUUUGGCAAUAUGUUUGAGUAAUACACCUUCUCCACUCU